GGUACUCGCGAGACCGAACAAAUGAAUGUCGCGCGGAGUGAGAGAGCCCCUAGGGGUGUCGCGCACUCGGCAAGGAGGAUCGUCGCUCGGAUACCCGACGAUCGAGGGGGCAAGAGACGAGAGGGUUUCCGAGUUUUUGAUGUAUUAAAACGCGGGCUCUACGUGACACCGAAUGCUAAAACAUGGCAGCCAUUAUUAUCGCGCCGUCGCACUCGAUAAAUUAGACAGUCCACUUGAGCGUGGACCCGAACGCCGUUACCGAUCGUGGCCAGCGAUAAGAUUUCGAUCUACUUAAACGUACCCAUUUGUAUCUAGUAUGUUUCAUGGCGCGCCGAGAUAUCGCCGGCAUCUGGGGAGUUCCGUUCCGACAGCUGUGCCGAGAACUGCCUUCGAGAUUGCGUAAAUAUAGCACGCGCAUGCAAAUUGGCAUCGCCUCUCGUCUUGCUGCCGAUUAUGAUGCAUUUGACAACGUUGAGUGAAGACUAAAUAUGACAAACUGUCAGAAAAGUCUUCUUGGUGGCUGAUAAACAAAGGAGGAUAAAAUGGCUACCCGUGGUGUAAGAGCGGAUAGUCUAAUCCCGGAUGAGACGACGGCGGAUGUACGACGACGACGGCGACGGAGACGAAGAUGGAAAAGAGAGAGAGAGAAAGAGAUAGAGGAACGAGAGACGGCGCAGACACAUCUCUCGGAUUACGUCUUAACAAGCUCCACGACGUUCAUUUGUCUUAUCCGUUGCCGCUAAUGCGACAGCAGCUGUUGAAAUGAUUAAUUCGGCGCGAGGACGCCGUCUUGUUCCGCUCCGCUCAAGCACUCGAUUUUGUCGUCGCAGAUGCGUCGCGGUUAAUCAACGCAUUGCGGUUAAUCACCGUCGCUGUGAAAUACAAAGCCAAACGAAUAGCGUUCGAAUCUAAUAGAAAUGUGGCUGUGUGCCAUUUGUAAAAUCGAUGUAGCAAUUUAGAAUAAUUUAGAAAACAUACAUGGUAGAGAACGUAUAACAAUAAUUUAUAAGAUAUAUAUCGAUAGAGAAUUUAUAUUCUCUAAACAAUUCUACACAUUUGACAUAGGAUAUUUUUAUCUGUGACAAGCUAGACUUCGAAUCUAGUUUGACAUACAUGUAUAUGUGUUUUAAGAAAAUUAAUCGAUCUAAUUCAAUCUAAUUCUAAACGCUAGUGACAAUUGCAUAACGGUGAUUAAAUUCGCGCAAGGUGUUCUACCGCACGAUUGUUCAUAAGAGAAACCCUAUGUGCGAUUACUCGCACUCUGUCCAAACAAACAGAAGCGAGCGCCCGCGAUCUAAUUGGAUUAAUUUUCAAUUUGUCGGGACCACCUGUCGUCGCGGUGUACCGAUCGCGCGUCCCGAUCGAUGACUAAUCCGCGAGAAUGAGAAUCCGCGCGACUCCAACGAGCGCAGUCGGAGCCGACUAUUAGAGUUGCACGAGGGAACAAAGAAACGCGAAGCGACAAUUGUGCCUCAUCGUGCGGAUAUAGAGUUACAGGCGCGCGAGCGGAGAAAAUGAACGGCGAAUAUUAAGCUGGCGUAGCAAAAUGGCCGACGGGCGAGAGAAAAAAAUAGGGACGCACUAGUCUCUCUCUUUCUCUCGCUCGUCACAUGACAAGCGGUGGAGACGCGUAACGAACACUUGGUUCCACACACUCGUCGGGUUACGACGUGACGCGGGUCGAAAUUUUGCCGCGUCGCUAACGCAUGCGCGACGCACGCCGAUCGAAAGCCCCGCCCGGUCAUUCUACCUUUGUUUAAUUCACAUGGUAUCUACGCCCACGAUAACAGUAGUGUAACUAGAGAGGGUCCUAUAAAACUCGCGAGAGGGACACCUCUAGAACAUUUAAAAACAAUAAGAGUAUAACUCUAAAAACCAAAUUUAAAAAAUAAAGAAAAAGAUAAUUUAAAACAAGGAUUUAAUUCUAAUAUGAUCUUGUUAGACGAAAGUUCAGUAUUUCAAAGUAGUAUUAGAAGGUUUAUUGUUUAUAAUACGAUAAAUAUAUAAUACGAAUAAUAAUAUAAUGACCUAUAUUAUUAUUUAGGUGAAUUAUUAGUGAACUAAUCAUUUCUAAUUAGAUGAAAGAAAUAAAAUCAAUUGUAUUUUCUUGACACUGAUAGAUUGUUCACAAGUCAACUUUAGAGUUAUUUUUAGCAUCGAGAUUGCGCGAUUCGAAUAGACACUCUUUGACAUGGUAUAGAAAUGUUUGUGAACAAAAUUUAUAUACCAUUUCACAAAUUGAAGGAUUUUAGUUAGAAAAAUGAGAUAAAAUCUUAUAAUUUGUAACUUUAUUUUAUUUUUUGUAUUAAAAACCGAGCUUAUAAAUCGCGGAUUUAUUUUAUUUCUUUAUUGAAUUCUUAAUUAGAAAAUAAUUGUAAUAGACAUAUACAAAAAUAGAACUGCGGAGUAACUCCACAACAACUGGUAGCGUGGCCGAGCGGUCUA